GUGCGUCUGUGGUGUCAGACACCUGUGUCUCAGCUCUGUCUUCCUCGGGCUAGCUCCUGCGGAUCCUUCCUGGGCAGAACCGUGCCUCUAGGCCACCUCCCCCAAGCCACCAAGCCCCCGCGGUGGGCCAGCCUUGGCCCAGUGUCACGCAGGACAGAAAUGACCAACAGAUAACUGAGGACAAUGGACCUGCCUGGGCAUAGACUUCCUUAAGAGAUGUGUGCACAGACCCAGGCCAUGCAGAUACUAGUGCCUCUAACUUCGUCAGCCCAGAACACCUCACCUCUGGCCCCCAGCACAGGAAAGCAGCGUGGUCAGGAGGGGUUAAACUUCGGCUGAAGCACAGGCGCAGUGAGCCUGCAGGCCGACCUCACUCGUGGCACACAACUAAAUCUGGGGAGAAGCAACCCGAUGCCAGCAUGAUGCAGAUAUCUCAGGGUAUGAUCGGCCCUCCUUGGCACCAAAGCUACCAUUCCAGCUCCUCUACUAGUGACCUCUCCAACUAUGACCAUGCUUAUCUAAGGCGGAGCCCUGACCAGUGCAGCUCCCAGGG
rnacentral:sRNA from 1 species